rnacentral:rRNA from 1 species
AUUGAACGCUGGCGGCAUGCCUAACACAUGCAAGUCGAACGGGGCAGCAAUGCCUAGUGGCGGACGGGUGAGGAAUACGUAGGAAUCUGCCCUUAAGUGGGGGAUAACCAGGGGAAACCCUGACUAAUACCGCAUGAUCUCUUCGGAGCAAAGAGGGGGACCGCAAGGCCUCUCGCUUCUGGAUGAGCCUACGUCUGAUUAGCUAGUUGGUAGGGUAAAGGCCUACCAAGGCGACGAUCAGUAACUGGUCUGAGAGGAUGAUCAGUCACACCGGAACUGAGACACGGUCCGGACUCCUACGGGAGGCAGCAGUUUCGAAUCAUUCACAAUGGGCGAAAGCCUGACGGUGCGACGCCGCGUGAGGGAUGAAGGUCUUCGGAUUAUAAACCCCUGUCACUGGGGAGAAAACGCUUUGAGUUAAUAGUUCAAAGCCUGAUUUAACCCGGAGAGGAAGCAGUGGCUAACUCUGUGCCAGCCGCCGCCGUAACAC